rnacentral:rRNA from 1 species
GGUGCUUAGGAUGUUGGCAUAAUGGCUUUAAGCGACCCGUCUUGAAACACGGACCAAGGAGUCUAACAUGCUUGCGAGUGUUCGGGUGGAAAACCCUUGCGCGCAAUGAAAGUGAAAGUUGGGAGCCCCCGCGAGGGGGUGCACCGACGCCCGGCCCUGACGUUCUCUGACGGUGCUGCGGUAGAGCAAGUGUGUUGGGACCCGAAAGAUGGUGAACUAUGCCUGAAUAGGGCGAAGCCAGAGGAAACUCUGGUGGAGGCUCGUAGCGAUUCUGACGUGCAAAUCGAUCGUCAAAUUUGGGUAUAGGGG